rnacentral:rRNA from 1 species
CCUACGGGGGGCAGCAGUGAGGAAUAUUGGUCAAUGGCCGGAAGGCUGAACCAGCCAUGCCGCGUGAAGGUCAGUGCCCUAUGGGCGUUAAACUUCUUUUGUGCGGGAGCAAUAAUGGUCACGUGUGGCCAGACGAGAGUACCGUACGAAUAAGCAUCGGCUAACUCCGUGCCAGCAGCCGCGGUAAUACGGGGGAUGCAAGCGUUAUCCGGAUUUAUUGGGUUUAAAGGGUGCGUAGGCUGGGAGGUAAGUCAGCGGUGAAAUGCCCCCGCUCAACGGGGUGAAGUGCCAUUGAUACUGCCUGGCUGGAAUGCGGAUGCCGUGGGAGGAAUGUGUGGUGUAGCGGUGAAAUGCAUAGAUAUCACACAGAACACCGAUUGCGAAGGCAUCUCACGAAGCCGCGAUUGACGCUGAUGCACGAAAGCGUGGGUAUCAAACAGGAUUAGAUACCCUUGUAGUC